CCCUAUCAUCAUCGACAUCUCUCUGAUUCCCUAUCAUCAUCGACAUCUCUCUGAUGUCGAUGAUGAUAGGGAAUCAGAGAGAUGUCGAUGAUGGGGACUU
rnacentral:pre_miRNA from 1 species